rnacentral:sRNA from 1 species
GGGGGAGGGGGGGAGUCCCGGGAAAGCACGAGCGGGAAAGCCGUGCAGCCUUGGGUGCGGAGAAAGCGGAGCUCAGUGCCAAAGCCUGGGUGUGCAAAGAAAGGCGCUGGCUCCCGCCGAAUUCCCAGAAGGCAGAUGCUAGAAUCUGCAGCCCGGGCGGAAUGCACAAGCGUGGCCGAGAGGUUUGCUCCGUGCACCUGUGGUAUAGAGUGCGCUUGCAGAAGGUUUCUGCUGUGACUCAUCAUCCCUGAGUAAUUUCCCCAUGCUGUACAGAAGAAUGAAGAGAGGGAGGUCCACUGGAGGGAACACCUCAGGCAUUGCCAAACCAUGGAGGGUCAGAAAAUGAAGUCCAGUGAGACGCUGUCCCUUGAAGAAGUGAUGUAAAUCUUGAGCCUGGGUGCCUUGAUCUUUGAAGGUGACUGCGGUCUCCGCGUGACCCCUUUUAUGUCCUGUAAGCCCUUGCCCAAUGUCCCUUCUCCAGCAUCUCUUGCUUCUUCCUCUGUUCUCACCUCUCUCUUUGAGCUCACCACUUUCUAACGUGUUUGAUCUACUACGAUCUUGAUAAUCCACGGUCUCCUCCACACAUCGCAGCAGAAGUUCCACGGUGCCAGGAAGCUUGGAACAUAAAAGUGCCUGAACUGGCCGUGUCUUUAAUUCCAGCACACGCAUGGUCAAGGCAGCAGAACAGCUGAGAGUCUGAGGCCAGCCUUGACUACAGAGUGAGAACCUGUCUUGAAACAAAAACAAAGCAAAAUGAUGUCUGAUAUAUAGUACACGCUCAUCUUCUUUGAAUGAGGGACUGGGGGUGUAACUUAGUAGGUAGAGUGCUUUCCAGCAUCACACAGACACAUCACAGUGGUUAUGACAGCACUUAUCUGUGAUCCCAGCAGGAGGUGGAGGUCCUAAGAUUAGAAAUUCAAGGUCAUCUUAGGCUGUAUAGCCAGAAACCCUGUGAGAAAAAGAAAGGAAGGAAGGAAGGAAGGAAGGAAGGAAGGAAGGAAGGAAGGAAGAAAGUUAGUUAAAUGAACGAGUAAAGUGUAGAAAGGUGUUUGCUUUAGUUCAGGGUUCUCUGGAGGAAGAGCCCGUAGGCAAGGAAGCAGGAAGUUGCCUGUGAUUUGCCUCAUGCUCUAGCAGGGGUGGGAUUUUUUUCUAGCUUCAGAUAGCUUCUGCGAUUGGGUGACAUUUGCAAUUCUGGGUGUUUUUCAGGAGUUAUCUAAAUGCUAGGGUCCUGAGAGGCAUGGUGGGCUGUCGGUUGUUGUGGGUCACAGUUUGUUAAGUAGUCAUGCGCAAAGAAAAAGAAGAAACAACAAGAAGACAUUAGAUAUCCCGGUGGCAAAAAACAAACUUAACCCCAUGGAACUCAGUGCCCCUAAUCAGCAGGAAGUAGUCUAACGUUAACGUUUCCCCCUUUCUGAUCCCUGACUUAAAAGAUCUCUUUCCUCUUUCCCCUGUAUCCUUUUUUCUCUCCUGCCUAGUGUGAGGGGGUUGAAGGGGUGGGAAAAGGGUAGAGAAGGGUAGAAGAAAAAAAAAACCUAUAAAGUGACAAAAAGACCACCGGUUCCAGAAAGGAGGAGGCAGGGGAAAGUUGGUUGAGAUUUAUUCUAAUAAUUUAGCUAUGCCAGGUGGGUGUGGCACUUUUAAUCCCAGCAUUUGAGAAGAGGUAGAGACAGAUGAACCCUGUGAGUUCAAGGACAGGCACAUCUACAUAGCGAGGCACUGUUUUAAAACAAGACAGAAUUUGGUUAUGCACCUAGGGAGGCCGAUCUACCCCUAAGCCUUGCAUUAGCACACUGCAGACCCAGCAGGGCUAGUGGCGUAGUUCUAAUGUGAUUAUCAGCAGGCUCAAGACCCAGAAGAGUUGAUGUUUAGGGGAAAUUCCAAGGAAUGUCCCAGGUUGAGGGACCCAGAUUGAGAGGGCCCUUUCUCAGGAGAAGACCUUUCUGUUCUAUUUAUGCCUUUGGCUGGUGUGCUGAGGCUCACACACAUUGUGGAAGGUUAUCAACUUUAUUCAGGCCAACAAUUCCAGGAUAAUCUCUCCCCAAAACACUCUCACAAACACACUCAGAACAGUGUCUGAGUAGGUGUGAGGCCACUCUGCAGUUCAGGACAGCUCACAUACAAAAUGAACUUCCUGAUGUUGCAAAUGAUGCAGAAAUCAUUCUCAGACCCAGUGGGAGAUGAUUUACAUGACAGAAGGGGAGGUGACCUAUUGGGGAUACCACGGUACUAGUUCAGAUGUUUCUAUGAAAGCAUCCGUUAUUGGUGGCUUCAGAGGACCCUCUGGAGACCCAUGAGUGACAUCAGACAGUAAGAGCUGGUCAGGGUUGAGGUAUACGGAGAGGAACAGCCUGAAUUGCUGUGGUGGCGAAUGAGCAUGACAGUGUCUCUUGGGCCAUUUAAAUUGCUCAGGCAGAGAAACUGUAAAUGGGCUUCCUUCUGGGGGGGUUGGGGGGGUCAAUCCACUUAGUAGGUCUUCCUUGUGUUGUGAGACUAGGUGUUUUAUGGCAUAGUCACAGACCUGGUCUUGGAGUGAGGCUAUAAGAGUUCUCCAGAAAGCAAGUCUCCACCCACCUUGUUCUCCAAACUGUAGGGUACUGUCAGCAGCCACACCCUCAGAUUGUGGGUUGUGGCGGUCAAUAACAACCCAUCUAUUAGUCCAAGCGGGACACUGAACGAAACACAAUGAAGACCCAAAAUAACUUUGGGUUACCCAAACAACCCUUUUUGCUAAUUCCAUCGUCAUAAACAGCCUGGGUUCCUCGUAUAUAUCCCCACUGUUUAUGUACACCGGCGUGUGCAGGGGCUCUCUCUGUGCCCGAUGUUCUCAAACUUCGUAGAAUCGGGUGAAAAUGGAAGAAAGCACUUGCCUCUCUGGAUGCUUCGAGUUGCAAUAAGGUGCCACUUGACAUCACCCUGUGGAGUCACAGCCUUCACAUCCCCCAUGAGACUGAUAGCCUCACCCUUUUGCUAACACACUUGGGAGAUAGGGCAACAGCGUGGGUCCGGGGCCUCAUUAUUUCCACCCACCAUUUUAAAGAGAUUCGUUACCUCCUACGGGUGAUGGGACUGCCGCUGUGCCGCCUGUCAAGGGGAAAGCAGUGACUCAUUCAUCUCUUUGAUGUUUCUGUGUGCAUCUCUUCCUGGCCCCCGAAACGUGGGAAUUUGCAGUUGUCUUGCUUUGACAAGAGAGGUGGAUGAAUGCUGUCUCAUCACCUCCGCUAUAGGGUUGACUCAUGAAAAUGGCCAUAGUUUUGUAUCUUCGCUCUGGUCCUUCCGCUCAGUUCAGAUCCCUGAAGAAUUAUUUCUCCUGAGUAGAGCUGCCUUGUAAGCCUUGAGAGGAAGGCAUGGGUCCAAACUCUGCCAAAAACAGUCCAAGUUGGCGUGGGGCCAGCCAGUUGGCUGUUGAGCAGAGUCCUCUCCCAGCCUCUCCAGGCCCCCCUCCGGCUCCCUUUUACAGCUGUCUGCCCUCAGGUAAUCAUGGGCACUCUGCGGGUCCCUGGCUCUUUUCAUUCCCGUGUUUCAGAUCACUUUACACACAUUAAUUAAGCCUUAAAACACUCAGGAAAGGAAAGCCAAAGGCAGCGGGAAUGUUUGCAAUGUGCUCCUCCAAGCUCUGGCUUGAAAAGCAAGCUAGCCCCGCCCUCGCCCAUCCCCGCCCCCGACAAGCUCCGCCCCUACAAGCUCCGCCCUCCCCCAAGCGAAAGUGGGAGGUUCUGUGUUCCCUACAUGGUUGAAACCCCUCUACCUGCCUCAGAAAACCCCAUAUUCAUUAUUGACUCAGGAUAAUCAUCUACCCCAUUGAAUUUACCUGCGAUAGAUGAUCCACAUGACCUUUGGAAGUAGGGCUCUAGGCAGAGCUGGCUCAAUGCCUUUUCACACCCGGAAAGAAUGUCCCCAAUGGAACCCCAUAAAAGAGUGCAGUGAGACCUUGGGCUAAGAAAGGCCUUAGGCCAAAUAAGGUGGGCUGUACUAAGCAAAGAAGCCUCCGAUUGAUCUCUCACCUCCACAUGCACAUGCACAGAGAAAGAAGGGGUAGAGGUGCGUGCAGAGGGAGAAACCUUGAGAGACAGCGAAAGACCCUAGUCCAGGCCUGGUUCCUGCAAAGCUGUCUUGCAAACAUUGCUUGGCAUCCUAAGGCUGACUGUACCAUCGCUAACACUGUCAGGAUAACAUCCAGUGCUUCCCCACCCCUUGAUUUCUGGGGAGGAGAAAUCAGAACAUAACAUACUAAGCGUUUGGCCCUGCAUUUGGCAUAGAAAAAUGCUAGAUAUCAUGGCCCUCCAGAGCCAUCUUGUAUGUAGUCCCGUUCAGUCUGAAUUAAUGUAGUUUUGCUACCAAAGUGUUAGACCUUGUAGUUCGAAUUGAUGGCGGCGUCUCUCAUUAAGAUGAAAUGGUAGGGAGGCUUAAUGAAGUCUGCAGCUUAGUUAAUGGUUUGCACCAACCGCUAAUCCUUGGUUUAGAUUAAUUUAUGGCUAUUUGAGCCGCUAACAUUCCAGGAAGUUGGGUGCAUGAGGUGCAGGGGCUGUGUUUCGGUGGGAGACAAUAAUCUCAUUGUGAGCACCUCAAAAUUGGUAAUGAUACCCACAUUUUUUUAGCGUACUAUUUUAAAAUACCUCUAUGGCUUCCAAGAAACUAAUAAAUGCCAAGCCUUUUGUUACCAAAAUAAGAGACAAUUUAUGUUAGCUCCAGCUGUUCUCACCACCAAGGAAAAUGCAUUGAGUUCCCUGUGUCUGCAAUGUGCCAUAUUGUCCACUACAAUAGCAAACAUUAUCAUUGGGGGGGGAGGGGGACAUGGCUUGUGUGGCAGUCCUUUUAAGGUGGCAGUCUGCAUGUAAGAUACUUGAUAACUUCACUAUUUUGGCCCCCAGUGCGUUCCUUAUUUCACAGGAAAUGGACAGUUUGCUAGCCAUGCCGCUCCAAGCUUUCCCCUUUAUCAAGACGCAACUAGGAAGUGCCGUCGUGUCCAAUAGUGCUAUAGAAGACACUGCUUGCCGCUCCUGAGUACAGGGUCUGCAACCUUCACAGCGACAUGCCAACGCAAAUGAAGACCUUCACAGGAAACCACCACCAGACAUAACGCAGAGAUCAACAGAUCGUGGGCCGCUCAUCCCAAUGGACGCCAUUACAUACCCUUCUGCACGGAUACAGCCCCAGCACCCUUGGCUCAGAGAACACCUCUGGAGACUGGGUGGAAUGAUUGUCAGAGCCAAAGAGCAAAGAGUCUGCUGUGAAGUCUCUCCUAGCAAUGGCUGCGUAAACAAGAUCAGAAAAAACGGCAGUAUCGACGAUUAUGUUCAUGGGAAAUGGGAAACUUUCACAGGGUCCCAGCCCUAGACAAAGAACUACAGGUGCCUCUUGAUCCCCUUCAAAAAGUUGUCUCUAAUCAUCUUUGAGCUAAGGAAGCAGUUUGUCACGUUCACCAGGAUCUUGUGUAAAACGGGAGGUGUUUGUUGACUGACAGUAAGAAGAUGGAAACGAACUCUGAGAGCUCUGCGAAUGAGCCCUGUGGUGUUUAUUUCAGAGCCCUUUUUCCUGAGCCGUGUUCUCCGUGGCUGAGACUAUUGGAAAAAUGACCUCUGGGGUAGGUUGCCCGGAAUUUCUGUGGGCCUUCAACACUGCAGCCUCCACUAGUCCCCACCUCGCUUCGGCAACCUGACUCAGUUCUGAGGCCGUGACCUGACAACAGGAGUCUUGUGGCCGUGCGUGUCCAUGGGCAUGACGUACACAUAUAUGGAAAGGGGCGUACAUGUGUGAACGCAGGCAUGUAGGUGCCCUGGAUCCUGUGCGGAGGUCAGAGAACAGCUUUUCUUGUGGUUUAUGCAGGGUUUAUGGCCCCUGGAGAAGAGUCUCCCGUCUCACAGUAGGGAUACUUCAGCGUGACAGAUGUGCAUUACUGUGCCCUGGUUUACUUGAGCCCAGGUCUUCAUGGAAAGCAAAUGCUUCACUCACGGAGCAUCUGCCCUGCCUGCAACUUCUUUGUUUGACACUUGUUUUGUGUCCUGGCCAAUAGCUUUGUCUUUUGACUGUGAAAGGGUACCUGUUAUAAGACCGGACUGGAUUUCAAACGAAGAGUAACAAGAGGAAUCUUGAAUAUAAGUUGACAAGGGUUCAGGGACACAUCAGGAAAAAAAAAAAAACAAAGCGAAGCUAGAGAUCGAGGUGUGAGUGGGCCAAAUAGGACCAUUUGCGGGCAACGUCUCAUCUGUGGUUUAGAACAUGAGAACCAGGCCUACACAAGACUGACGGUACAGCCGCAGGUGACGCUUGAGUGCACAGUGCUGAGACAGGACUUCCCUUGUCUCUCAGAGCAUUGGUUUGAAAUGUGGCCCCGUAACUAAGUUUACGUAUAAUAUAAUAAUUCAAACUAAACAUUUCCCAGUUUAAUUUGACAAAUAGGAACUCUUUGUGGUCUCGUUUGGGGGUUUUAAAGUUUAUUAUCAUUAUUUUUUAAUUACGUCUCUGUAUGUGGGUCUCCUUGUGGCUGGGUACACAUGUAUACAAUGUCUGUGGCAUUCAGAGGCGAUGGAUCCCCCCCUGGAACUAGGGUUACAGUUGGCUGUGCGCCACCAUUGUGGGUGCUGAAUAAAUGAACUUGGAUCUUUUGCAAAAGCCUCACAGGAUCUUAAUUGCUGAGCCAUGAUUUGUUUGUUUUUAAUCGGGUCUUGC